rnacentral:rRNA from 1 species
UACGGAGGGUGCAAGCGUUAUCCGGAUUCACUGGGUUUAAAGGGUGCGUAGGCGGCUUGAUAAGUCAGUGGUGAAAGCUCGCAGCUUAACUGUGAAACUGCCAUUGAAACUGUCAGGCUUGAGUACAAUUUGAAGUGGGCGGAAUACAUCAUGUAGCGGUGAAAAUGCUUAGAUAUGAUGUAGAACACCGAUUGCGAAGGCAGCUCACUAAAUUGCAACUGACGCUGAGGCACGAAAGCGUGGGUAGCGAACAGGA